UCCGUAGGUGAACCUGCGGAGGGAUCAUUACACAAAUAUGAAGGCGGGCUGGAACCUCUCGGGGUUACAGCCUUGCUGAAUUAUUCACCCUUGUCUUUUGCGUACUUCUUGUUUCCUUGGUGGGUUCGCCCACCACUAGGACAAACAUAAACCUUUUGUAAUUGCAAUCAGCGUCAGUAACAAAUUAAUAAUUACAACUUUCAACAACGGAUCUCUUGGUUCUGGCAUCGAUGAAGAACGCAGCGAAAUGCGAUAAGUAGUGUGAAUUGCAGAAUUCAGUGAAUCAUCGAAUCUUUGAACGCACAUUGCGCCCUUUGGUAUUCCAAAGGGCAUGCCUGUUCGAGCGUCAUUUGUACCCUCAAGCUUUGCUUGGUGUUGGGCGUCUUGUCUCUAGCUUUGCUGGAGACUCGCCUUAAAGUAAUUGGCAGCCGGCCUACUGGUUUCGGAGCGCAGCACAAGUCGCACUCUCUAUCAGCAAAGGUCUAGCAUCCAUUAAGCCUUUUUUUCAACUUUUGACCUCGGAUCAGGUAAGGAUACCCGCUGAACUUAAGCAUAUCAA
rnacentral:rRNA from 1 species